rnacentral:lncRNA from 7 species
AGGGGAGUAAUAAGCGUCAAGGAUAUCACGGCGCAGUCGCAUGGAGCUGCCGAGUCUACAGGCCGGAUUUCACAUGGCGUACAGGUUCUGUCAUAGACUACGACAAACUUAUUGUGUUAUUAUCUCUCACUCUCUCAAGGAAACUUUGUUGCAAAGAGAUAAAUCGUGUAGUAGUUUUAAAUUGGUGAGUAGUCCUUAGAAUUUAUGUGCCAUGCCCCCGCACCCCUCGUGUCCGGAGACACCGAAGUCUGCCCCUGCCCAGCACGCCCGUCUCCCGAGCCCCCUACCCCCACAUGCUCCUGCUCCCAACCAGUCGUACCCCCACCGACCAUGCGUACGCGUUGAGUAGAUCCAGAGCAGUGGGGCUGGGAAGUGCCCGAGGUGAGAUCAGGCGAGGUGAUCAGGUCCGCUUCCUCCUCUUCCUCCGUUGGCUUCUACACGCUCCAGGACGAGGAGGAGUAGGGUGAUGAGGGCCGCGUCCUUGAGGCAUGGGAGCACGCAUACGCCGCCCUAGGCCAGGUGACCAGCUUUUGGCCGGGCCCAUUGCUGGCGACGAGAAUCCAAUAGGUAUGCCCACCCCUUUUCUUAUCUUCCUACAACCGAGUGCCCAAACCCUAACUGAA